UCCUUUGUUUCAUAAUUUUUUGAGAAUGAUUGCUCAUACUCUUUAGAAAAUUAAUUUUUAUAGUCAUUUACAAAAUGGAUGAAUCAUUUACAAAAAGAAUGAAAGUAUGUUUCUCUAGAGUUAGUCAGCUUUGUUUCUAUAAAGUGCUUAUGAAAACAUUAUUAGAACAAUUCAAUUCAAAUGAAUUUAAGGCUUAAGGUAGUUUUUUGUUUAGCUCUGUUUCUUUUCAUUCAUUGGAAUGAAGAAUCACAUUUGUUCCCAAGUGACAUUACAACAUUUUUUCUUUCUCUGGAAAGUGGCAAAGAAAUAUUUAUUAUAGUUUUAUUUUAAUAAAUUAUUUCUAGUUUAUCACCAAAUGUAUGCAUUUUGGGCAUCAGUUUCAUUCAACAUUCAGGGCAGAAUGUUGACCUGCUGAGAUUCCCCAGCAUCAGUAAGCCCUAUAUUUUUUUUUUCUUCUUCCCAUAGCCCUCUGACAUAGGUGAACUAGAGUUUCAAUUAUCCAGGAUUGGCAAAUUACCUAACAACAUGGUUUUACUGUUGUCAUUUCUUUCUGGAGUCCUACCUUCACUUAGAUUUGAUAUGAUAAUUCUUCACUAUCUAUGAGGCUUUUAACAUUUUUAUUAUUUUUUCUGGUGUUUUCAUUUUCAGCAAGGAGUUUGGUUUGACCAUGUAGGAAGCCAUAUUUCCAGAAAUGGAUGUCUAUUCCCAUCUUUAUAGAUACACUUUUACAGAAGGAAUUUUGGAUUGUAGUGC
rnacentral:lncRNA from 10 species